UCACAAGUAGGUGUUGGCAUCGCAAAGACGACGAUAGAAAAUAUUUAUUCCGGUUUUAAUUUUAAAAAUCUUGAAAAAGUUUAGUUUUAAUAAUGCAAUUUUAAAUGUCACAAAAAUAAUGGACAUGUGUUUUGAAGCUCACUGUUAUGGAUUUAUAGUUUUAGUAGCAUUCGUUCUGAUGAUUCUUCUUUGAACAAACCUGAUAUUAUUAUUACAGAUAUAGUUAUUAAGAUACAUAUAUUUCCCAUUAAUACAAAAUGUGCGCAGAAAUUCACUUGUUUGGAAUUGUUGCCUUUGUUGCAAUGAUCUUGAUGAUUAUAUUGUAGUGCAACUGGACGGAAAAUUUAGAAAUAAAUUGUCAUUUUACCUGACCAUUUUAGAACUAUUAGGAUUGUUAUUUUAUUAUUUUAGCUAUCAAACAAUUAAUCGAAGAAAGUCCUCUAUGCUAUUAUUGCUUCAAUUAAUUUGGAUUUUAACCGAAUAAUUUCGAUUUUAUUGGAGCAAAGCCAUAGUUAUUAAGAUACGAAAUAUUUUAUUUAUUCAAGAUGUGUGUAGAAAUGCACUUGUUUGGAAUUGUCGCCUUCGUUGCAAUGGUCUUGAUGAUCAUAUUAUAGUGCAACUGGACGGAAAAUUUAAAAAUAAAUUAUAUUUUAACCCCUGACUAUUACAAAACUUAGG